rnacentral:rRNA from 1 species
AUUGAACGCUGGCGGCAUGCUUUACACAUGCAAGUCGAACGGUAACAGGCCGCAAGGUGCUGACGAGUGGCGCACGGGUGCGUAAUGCAUCGGAACGUGCCUAGUCGUGGGGGAUAACUACUCGAAAGAGUAGCUAAUACCGCAUACGAUCUAUGGAUGAAAGCGGGGGACCGUAAGGCCUCGCGCGAUUGGAGCGGCCGAUGUCAGAUUAGGUAGUUGGUGGGGUAAAGGCUCACCAAGCCAACGAUCUGUAGCUGGUCUGAGAGGACGACCAGCCACACUGGGACUGAGACACGGCCCAGACUCCUACGGGAGGCAGCAGUGGGGAAUUUUGGACAAAGGGCGCAAGCCUGAUCCAGCAAUGCCGCGUGCAGGAAGAAGGCCUUCGGGUUGUAAACUGCUUUUGUACGGAACGAAACGGCUCUGGUUAAUACCCGGGGCUAAUGACGGUACCGUAAGAAUAAGCACCAGCUAACUACGUG